rnacentral:rRNA from 1 species
GGCGAACGGGUGAGUAAUGUAUCGGAACGUACCUUUCAGUGGGGGAUAACGUAGCGAAAGUUACGCUAAUACCGCAUAUUCUGUGAGCAGGAAAGCAGGGGAUCGCAAGACCUUGCGCUGAUUGAGCGGCCGAUAUCAGAUUAGCUAGUUGGUGAGGUAAAGGCUCACCAAGGCGACGAUCUGUAGCGGGUCUGAGAGGAUGAUCCGCCACACUGGAACUGAGACACGGUCCAGACUCCUACGGGAGGCAGCAGUGGGGAAUUUUGGACAAUGGGGGCAACCCUGAUCCAGCCAUGCCGCGUGAGUGAAGAAGGCCUUCGGGUUGUAAAGCUCUUUCGGCCGGGAAGAAAUCGUAUGGGUUAAUACCCUGUGCGGAUGACGGUACCGGCAUAAGAAGCACCGGCUAACUACGUGCCAGCAGCCGCGGUAAUACGUAGGGUGCGAGCGUUAAUCGGAAUUACUGGGCGUAAAGCGUGCGCAGGCGGUUUUGUAAGACAGGCGUGAAAUCCCCGGGCUCAACCUGGGAACUGCGCUUGUGACUGCAAGGCUAGAGUAUGGCAGAGGGGGGUGGAAUUCCACGUGUAGCAGUGAAAUGCGUAGAGAUGUGGAGGAACACCAAUGGCGAAGGCAGCCCCCUGGGCCAAUACUGACGCUCAUGCACGAAAGCGUGGGUAGCAAACAGGAUUAGAUACCCUGGUAGUCCACGCCCUAAACGAUGUCAACUAGGUGUUGGGUGGGUAAAACCAUUUAGUACCGGAGCUAACGCGUGAAGUUGACCGCCUGGGGAGUACGGCCGCAAGGUUAAAACUCAAAGGAAUUGACGGGGACCCGCACAAGCGGUGGAUGAUGUGGAUUAAUUCGAUGCAACGCGAAAAACCUUACCUACCCUUGACAUGUCCAGGAGCCUGAAGAGAUUUGGGUGUGCCCGAAAGGGAACUGGAACACAGGUGCUGCAUGGCUGUCGUCAGCUCGUGUCGUGAGAUGUUGGGUUAAGUCCCGCAACGAGCGCAACCCUCGUCGUUAAUUGCCAUCAUUUAGUUGGGCACUUUAACGAGACUGCCGGUGACAAACCGGAGGAAGGUGGGGAUGACGUCAAGUCCUCAUGGCCCUUAUGGGUAGGGCUUCACACGUCAUACAAUGGUCGGUACAAAGGGUUGCCAACCCGCGAGGGGGAGCCAAUCCCAGAAAGCCGAUCGUAGUCCGGAUUGCAGGCUGCAACUCGCCUGCAUGAAGUCGGAAUCGCUAGUAAUCGUGGAUCAGCAUGUCACGGUGAAUACGUUCCCGGGUCUUGUACACACCGCCCGUCACACCAUGGGAGCGGGUUCCGCCAGAAGUGGGUAGCCUAACCGCAAGGAGGGCGCUUACCACGGCGGGGUUCGUGACUGGGGUGAAGUCGGAACAAGGUG